UGGAACAUUGGGAAUGCCGGU
rnacentral:miRNA from 1 species